ensembl:lncRNA novel transcript, intronic to THSD4
GUAGAAGAAAGAAAUGGGGGCUUGUGCUGGGCUUGCACUCUUGGUCCUCUGCCUGCAGGCACUUGGAGAUCCUGAAGUCAGAGGACAGCCUGAAAACAGGAGAGAAGAAACAACAGGGGUGCAGUCUCAGCAUGGGAGUCCCUCCCUUCUCUGACCCCCACCUUGAGCUGAUCGCCAUGCAGGCAGCCGUGUUGGAGGGGAUCCCACCUCAGCCAUGGACGGUGCCUGAAGCGGCCCUCCCCACCCCACAGCAGCUGAUGGGGGUCCUUGGAUACCAACUAGAUGUCUUCUUUCUUGUGGCAAAUUCUCUUUUGAGGCUGUGUGUGCCAGGCACACCCAGAUCCUCAGAGACAGUCCACAAGUGUUGAGCUUCAGAAGGUCAUCCCUGGGAAUCUCAGUUCCAGGUUGUCUUUUCGGCUCCUCAAUACCCAACCCUUUUGUAGAGCCUCCUCCUCCAGACCAGUGCUUUUCAAACUUUAAUGUGCGGAAGAACCACUGAAAACUGUUGUUAGAAUGCAGGUUCUGAUUCAGUAGGUCCACAUGAACCUGCGAUUCUGCAUUUUAAUGAACCUCAAUUGAUGCUGUUGUUGCUGCUCUGAGGACCAUGCCAACAGGCCCCGAAUGUCUGCCAUAUGGAAGCUCAGAAUUGUCAACACUCCCUCUGCUUUUCCUUUGUCUUCCCUCAGAACACCUGCUCA